GGGUUGUGAGGUUAAGCGACUAAGCGUACACGGUGGAUGCCCUGGCAGUCAGAGGCGAUGAAGGGCGUGCUAAUCUGCGAUAAGCGCCGGUAAGGUGAUAUGAACCGUUAUAACCGGCGAUACCCGAAUGGGGAAACCCAGUGUGACUCGUCACACUAUCAUUAACUGAAUCCAUAGGUUAAUGAGGCGAACCGGGGGAACUGAAACAUCUAAGUACCCCGAGGAAAAGAAAUCAACCGAGAUUCCCCCAGUAGCGGCGAGCGAACGGGGAGGAGCCCAGAGCCUGAAUCAGCAUGUGUGUUAGUGGAAGCGUCUGGAAAGGCGCGCGAUACAGGGUGACAGCCCCGUACACAAAAGCGCAUGUGCUGUGAGCUCGAUGAGUAGGGCGGGACACGUGGUAUCCUGUCUGAAUAUGGGGGGACCAUCCUCCAAGGCUAAAUACUCCUGACUGACCGAUAGUGAACCAGUACCGUGAGGGAAAGGCGAAAAGAACCCCGGCGAGGGGAGUGAAAAAGAACCUGAAACCGUGUACGUACAAGCAGUGGGAGCACAGGUUUACCUGUGUGACUGCGUACCUUUUGUAUAAUGGGUCAGCGACUUAUAUUCUGUAGCAAGGUUAACCGAAUAGGGGAGCCGGAGGGAAACCGAGUCUUAAUUGGGCGUUAAGUUGCAGGGUAUAGACCCGAAACCCGGUGAUCUAGCCAUGGGCAGGUUGAAGGUUGGGUAACACUAACUGGAGGACCGAACCGACUAAUGUUGAAAAAUUAGCGGAUGACCUGUGGCUGGGGGUGAAAGGCCAAUCAAACCGGGAGAUAGCUGGUUCUCCCCGAAAGCUAUUUAGGUAGCGCCUCGUGAAUUCAUCUCCGGGGGUAGAGCACUGUUUCGGCUAGGGGGCCAUCCCGGCUUACCAACCCGAUGCAAACUGCGAAUACCGGAGAAUGUUAUCACGGGAGACACACGGCGGGUGCUAACGUCCGUCGUGAAGAGGGAAACAACCCAGACCGCCAGCUAAGGUCCCAAAGUCAUGGUUAAGUGGGAAACGAUGUGGGAAGGCCCAGACAGCCAGGAUGUUGGCUUAGAAGCAGCCAUCAUUUAAAGAAAGCGUAAUAGCUCACUGGUCGAGUCGGCCUGCGCGGAAGAUGUAACGGGGCUAAACCAUGCACCGAAGCUGCGGCAGCGAACGUAUCACUUAAAGCGAUUCAGCGGGUUACGAUUGACGGAGCGAAGCGACGUCAAAGCGUAUACAAAGUCGAGUCGGUUUAAGGAUACGUUCGUUGGGUAGGGGAGCGUUCUGUAAGCCUGNGAAGGUGGCCUGUGAGGGUUGCUGGAGGUAUCAGAAGUGCGAAUGCUGACAUAAGUAACGAUAAAGCGGGUGAAAAGCCCGCUCGCCGGAAGACCAAGGGUUCCUGUCCAACGUUAAUCGGGGCAGGGUGAGUCGACCCCUAAGGCGAGGCCGAAAGGCGUAGUCGAUGGGAAACGGGUUAAUAUUCCCGUACUUGGUGUUACUGCGAAGGGGGGACGGAGAAGGCUAUGUUGGCCGGGCGACGGUUGUCCCGGUUUAAGCGUGUAGGUGUGUGUUCCAGGUAAAUCCGGUUCACUUUAACACUGAGGCGUGACGACGAGGCACUACGGUGCUGAAGCAACAAAUGCCCUGCUUCCAGGAAAAGCCUCUAAGCAUCAGGUAACAUCAAAUCGUACCCCAAACCGACACAGGUGGUCAGGUAGAGAAUACCAAGGCGCUUGAGAGAACUCGGGUGAAGGAACUAGGCAAAAUGGUGCCGUAACUUCGGGAGAAGGCACGCUGACACGUAGGUGAAGUGAUUUACUCAUGGAGCUGAAGUCAGUCGAAGAUACCAGCUGGCUGCAACUGUUUAUUAAAAACACAGCACUGUGCAAACACGAAAGUGGACGUAUACGGUGUGACGCCUGCCCGGUGCCGGAAGGUUAAUUGAUGGGGUCAGCGCAAGCGAAGCUCCUGAUCGAAGCCCCGGUAAACGGCGGCCGUAACUAUAACGGUCCUAAGGUAGCGAAAUUCCUUGUCGGGUAAGUUCCGACCUGCACGAAUGGCGUAAUGAUGGCCAGGCUGUCUCCACCCGAGACUCAGUGAAAUUGAACUCGCUGUGAAGAUGCAGUGUACCCGCGGCAAGACGGAAAGACCCCGUGAACCUUUACUAUAGCUUGACACUGAACAUUGAGCCUUGAUGUGUAGGAUAGGUGGGAGGCUUUGAAGUGUGGACGCCAGUCUGCAUGGAGCCGACCUUGAAAUACCACCCUUUAAUGUUUGAUGUUCUAACGUGGACCCGUAAUCCGGGUUGCGGACAGUGUCUGGUGGGUAGUUUGACUGGGGCGGUCUCCUCCUAAAGAGUAACGGAGGAGCACGAAGGUUGGCUAAUCCUGGUCGGACAUCAGGAGGUUAGUGCAAUGGCAUAAGCCAGCUUGACUGCGAGCGUGACGGCGCGAGCAGGUGCGAAAGCAGGUCAUAGUGAUCCGGUGGUUCUGAAUGGAAGGGCCAUCGCUCAACGGAUAAAAGGUACUCCGGGGAUAACAGGCUGAUACCGCCCAAGAGUUCAUAUCGACGGCGGUGUUUGGCACCUCGAUGUCGGCUCAUCACAUCCUGGGGCUGAAGUAGGUCCCAAGGGUAUGGCUGUUCGCCAUUUAAAGUGGUACGCGAGCUGGGUUUAGAACGUCGUGAGACAGUUCGGUCCCUAUCUGCCGUGGGCGCUGGAGAACUGAGGGGGGCUGCUCCUAGUACGAGAGGACCGGAGUGGACGCAUCACUGGUGUUCGGGUUGUCAUGCCAAUGGCACUGCCCGGUAGCUAAAUGCGGAAGAGAUAAGUGCUGAAAGCAUCUAAGCACGAAACUUGCCCCGAGAUGAGUUCUCCCUGAGACUUUAAGUCUCCUGAAGGAACGUUGAAGACGACGACGUUGAUAGGCCGGGUGUGUAAGCGCAGCGAUGCGUUGAGCUAACCGGUACUAAUGAACCGUGAGGCUUAACCUUACAACGCCGAAG
rnacentral:rRNA from 1 species